UACGUAGGGUGCGAGCGUUAAUCGGAAUUACUGGGCGUAAAGCGCACGCAGGCGGUUCGUCGGGUCCGAUGUGAAAGCCCCGGGCUUAACCUGGGAACGGCAUUGGAAACUGGCGGGCUGGAGUGUGGCAGAGGGGGGUGGAAUUCCACGUGUAGCAGUGAAAUGCGUAGAGAUGUGGAGGAACACCGAUGGCGAAGGCAGCCCCCUGGGCCAACACUGACGCUCAGGCACGAAAGCGUGGGGAGCAAACAGG
rnacentral:rRNA from 1 species